CUUGGUCAUUUAGAGGAAGUAAAAGUCGUAACAAGGUUUCCGUAGGUGAACCUGCGGAAGGAUCAUUAUUGAAAUAAACCUGAUGGGUUGUUGCUGGCUCUCUAGGGAGCAUGUGCACACCUUGUCAUCUUUAUAUCUCCACCUGUGCACUUUUUGUAGACCUUUCAGGUCUAUGUUGCUUCAUUUACCCCAAUGUAUGUUAAUAGAAUGUUGUGCCUAUAUAAUAUAUACAACUUUCAGCAACGGAUCUCUUGGCUCUCGCAUCGAUGAAGAACGCAGCGAAAUGCGAUAAGUAAUGUGAAUUGCAGAAUUCAGUGAAUCAUCGAAUCUUUGAACGCACCUUGCGCUCCUUGGUAUUCCGAGGAGCAUGCCUGUUUGAGUGUCAUUAAUAUAUCAACCUUCUCUUUUUUGAGUUGUUUAGAUGUGGGGGUUUGCUGGCAUCUUAAAUGAUUCAGCUCCCCUGAAAUGCAUUAGCAGAACAAACCUGUUCAUUGGCGUGAUAAUUAUCUAUGCUAUUGAAUGUGAGGGCAGUUCAGCUUUCUAACCGUCCUUGAACAAUUCAUCAUUAAUGUGACCUCAAAUCAGGUAGGACUACCCGCUGAACUUAAGCAUAUCAAUAAGCGGAGGA
rnacentral:rRNA from 1 species